rnacentral:rRNA from 1 species
UACGUAGGUGGCAAGCGUUGUCCGGAAUUACUGGGCGUAAAGAGCGCGUAGGCGGGAAUUUAAGUCAGGAGUGAAAACUACCGGCUCAACCGGUAGCCUGCUCUUGAAACUGGAUUUCUUGAGGGUAUGAGAGGAAAGCGGAAUUCCCAGUGUAGCGGUGAAAUGCGUAGAUAUUGGGAGGAACACCAGUGGCGAAGGCGGCUUUCUGGCAUACAACUGACGCUGAGGCGCGAAAGCGUGGGGAGCAAACGGG